UACAGAGGUCUCAAGCGUUGUUCGGAUUCAUUGGGCGUAAAGGGUGUGUAGGUGGCGCCGUAAGUCGGGUGUGAAAUUGUCGGAGCUUAACUCCGAAACUGCAUUCGAUACUGCGGUGCUUGAGGACUGGAGAGGAGACUGGAAUUCAUGGUGUAGCAGUGAAAUGCGUAGAGAUCAUGAGGAAGACCAGUGGCGAAGGCGGGUCUCUGGACAGUUCCUGACACUGAGACACGAAGGCCAGGGGAGCAAACGGG
rnacentral:rRNA from 1 species